UCCCGAGUGGCUGAGUCGGUAAAAGCACUCGUUCCGAGUGCAGACUGAACACUACAGCCCGGGUUCGAUCCCGGCUGUGUCA